rnacentral:rRNA from 1 species
GUCUACGGCCAUACCACCCUGAACGCGCCCAAUCUCGUCUGAUCGCGGAAGCUAAGCAGGGUGGGGCCUGGUUAGUACUUGGAUAGAAGUUCAGAAAUUAGGGGUUGUUGGGG